rnacentral:rRNA from 1 species
CAUGGCUCAGGAUGAACGCUAGCUACAGGCUUAACACAUGCAAGUCGAGGGGCAGCAUGGUCUUAGCUUGCUAAGGCCGAUGGCGACCGGCGCACGGGUGAGUAACACGUAUCCAACCUGCCGUCUACUCUUGGACAGCCUUCUGAAAGGAAGAUUAAUACAAGAUGGCAUCAUGAGUCCACAUGUUCACAUGAUUAAAGGUAUUCCGGUAGACGAUGGGGAUGCGUUCCAUUAGAUAGUAGGCGGGGUAACGGCCCACCUAGUCUUCGAUGGAUAGGGGUUCUGAGAGGAAGGUCCCCCACAUUGGAACUGAGACACGGUCCAAACUCCUACGGGAGGCAGCAGUGAGGAAUAUUGGUCAAUGGGCGAGAGCCUGAACCAGCCAAGUAGCGUGAAGGAUGACUGCCCUAUGGGUUGUAAACUUCUUUUAUAAAGGAAUAAAGUCGGGUAUGCAUACCCGUUUGCAUGUACUUUAUGAAUAAGGAUCGGCUAACUCCGUGCCAGCAGCCGCGGUAAUACGGAGGAUCCGAGCGUUAUCCGGAUUUAUUGGGUUUAAAGGGAGCGUAGAUGGAUGUUUAAGUCAGUUGUGAAAGUUUGCGGCUCAACCGUAAAAUUGCAGUUGAUACUGGAUAUCUUGAGUGCAGUUGAGGCAGGCGGAAUUCGUGGUGUAGCGGUGAAAUGCUUAGAUAUCACGAAGAACUCCGAUUGCGAAGGCAGCCUGCUAAGCUGCAACUGACAUUGAGGCUCGAAAGUGUGGGUAUCAAACAGGAUUAGAUACCCUGGUAGUCCACACGGUAAACGAUGAAUACUCGCUGUUUGCGAUAUACUGCAAGCGGCCAAGCGAAAGCGUUAAGUAUUCCACCUGGGGAGUACGCCGGCAACGGUGAAACUCAAAGGAAUUGACGGGGGCCCGCACAAGCGGAGGAACAUGUGGUUUAAUUCGAUGAUACGCGAGGAACCUUACCCGGGCUUAAAUUGCAGAUGAAUUACGGUGAAAGCCGUAAGCCGCAAGGCAUCUGUGAAGGUGCUGCAUGGUUGUCGUCAGCUCGUGCCGUGAGGUGUCGGCUUAAGUGCCAUAACGAGCGCAACCCUUGUUGUCAGUUACUAACAGGUUCUGCUGAGGACUCUGACAAGACUGCCAUCGUAAGAUGUGAGGAAGGUGGGGAUGACGUCAAAUCAGCACGGCCCUUACGUCCGGGGCUACACACGUGUUACAAUGGGGGGUACAGAGGGCCGCUACCACGCGAGUGGAUGCCAAUCCCAAAAACCUCUCUCAGUUCGGACUGGAGUCUGCAACCCGACUCCACGAAGCUGGAUUCGCUAGUAAUCGCGCAUCAGCCACGGCGCGGUGAAUACGUUCCCGGGCCUUGUACACACCGCCCGUCAAGCCAUGGGAGCCGGGGGUACCUGAAGUGCGUAACCGCGAGGAGCGCCCUAGGGUAAAACUGGUGA